rnacentral:rRNA from 1 species
GACGUAGGGCGCGAGCGUUGUUCGGAUUACUGGGCGUAAAGGGCGCGUAGGCGGCCACCGCAAGUCGGUUGUGAAAUCUCCGAGCUUAACUCGGAAAGGUCAACUGAUACUGUGCAGCUAGAGUGCGGAAGGGGCAACUGGAAUUCUUGGUGUAGCGGUGAAAUGCGUAGAUAUCAAGAGGAACACCUGCGGCGAAGGCGGGUUGCUGGGCCGACACGUGACGCUGAGGCGCGAAAGCCAGGGAGCGAACGGG